GGGGAGUUAGAGGUACCCAGUUUCACGGCUCCAGACCACCACCAGGAGGAGGUAGAGGUACCCAGUGUCACGGUUCCAGACCACCACCAGGGGGAGUUAGAGGUACCCAGUGUAACGGCUCCAGACCACCACCAGGGGGAGUUAAAGGUACCCAGUGUCACGGUUCCAGACCACCACCAGGGGGAGUUAGAGGUACCCAGUGUAACGGCUCCAGACCACCACCAGGGGGAGUUAGAGGUACCCAGUGUCACGGCUUCAUUGCUCCAGACCACCACAAGGGGGAGUUAGAGGUACCCAGUGUAACGGCUCCAGACCACCACCAGGGGGAGUUAGAGGUACCCAGUGUCACGGCUUCAUUGCUUCAGACCACCACCAGGGGAGUUAGAGGUACCCAGUGUCAUGGCUCCAGACCACCACCAGGGGGAGUUAGAGGUACCCAGUGUAACGGCUCCAGACCACCACCAGGGGGAGGUAGAGGUACUCAGUGUCACGGCU
ensembl:lncRNA